GAAGAAGAAAGAGAUGAUAGAUCAAGAAGAAGAAUAGGAAAAUGAGUCGUCUACACAGCAGUGAUGGUCGUCUUGUUUUUUUUGUUUUUUUGUUU
rnacentral:ribozyme from 1 species